ACUGCUCAGUAACACGUGGAUAACCUGCCCUUGGGUCUGGGAUAACCCCGGGAAACUGGGGAUAAUACCGGAUAACGCAUAUGUGCUGGAAUGCAUCGAGAUUUAAAGCUCCGGCGCCUAAGGAUGGGUCUGCGGCCUAUCAGGUAGUAGUGGGUGUAGCGUACCUACUAGCCUACGACGGGUACGGGUUGUGAGAGCAAGAGCCCGGAGAUGGAUUCUGAGACACGAAUCCAGGCCCUACGGGGUGCAGCAGGCGCGAAAACUUUACAAUGCGGGAAACCGUGAUAAGGGAACUCCGAGUGCCAGGUUACAAAUCUGGCUGUCGAGAUGCCUAAAAAGCAUUUCAUAGCAAGGGCCGGGCAAGACCGGUGCCAGCCGCCGCGGUAACACCGGCGGCUCGAGUGGUAACCGUUAUUAUUGGGUCUAAAGGGUCUGUAGCCGGCCGGAUAAGUCUCUUGAGAAAUCUGGCAGCUUAACUGUCAGGCUUUCAGGAGAUACUGUCUGGCUCGAGGCCGGGAGAGGUGAGAGGUACUUCAGGGGUAGGGGUGAAAUCUUGUAAUCCUUGAAGGACCACCAGUGGCGAAGGCGUCUCACCAGAACGGACCUGACGGCAAGGGACGAAAGCUAGGGGCACGAACCGGAUUAGAUACCCGGGUAGUCCUAGCCGUAAACGAUACUCGCUAGGUGUCGGCCACGGUGCGACCGUUGUCGGUGCCGUAGGGAAGCCGUGGAGCGAGCCACCUGGGAAGUACGGCCGCAAGGCUGAAACUUAAAGGAAUUGGCGGGGGAGCAC
rnacentral:rRNA from 1 species